GGUCCUGAUUGAGGUCCCCCACAUCCUGGUGCAAACCCUGCUCUACGGACUGCUGGUCUACAGCAUGAUCGGCUUCGACUGGACGGCGGCCAAGUUCCUUUGGUACAUGUUCUUCAUGUUCUUCACGUUCCUCUACUUCACCUACUACGGCAUGAUGGCCGUCGCCAUGACGCCCAAUAGCGACAUCGCUGCCAUCGUCGCCGCCGCCUUCUACGCCAUCUGGAACAUCUUCGCCGGCUUCAUCAUCCCCCGACCCGUAAGGCCCCCGUCGCUCUCCCCUCCCUCGUCCCAUCUUCGCUGGCUUCAUCCUCUUCUGUGCGCCUUACCGAGUUAUAUGAUGAUGGCGGCUCUGCAGAGGAUCCCCAUCUGGUGGCGAUGGUACUACUGGGCGUGCCCCGUGGCGUGGACCCUCUACGGCCUGGUGGUGUCGCAGUUCGGGGAGUACACGGACACGAUGAGCGACGUCGAUGAGACGGUGAAGGACUUCCUGAGGAGGUUCUUAGGGUUCCGGCACGACUUCCUGCCCGUGGUGGGCGUCAUGGUGGUCGUCUUCACCGUGCUCUUCGCCUCCAUCUUCGCCUUCUCCAUCAAGACCCUCAACUUCCAGAGACGGUGACGGGCUCCUCCCUCCAGAUCGCGCCUUUUCCGGCGAUCACCUUGAAUUCUCCCGCAGACGGAUCGGCAGGAUACCACCACGUUCUUCUUGUGCCUAUUUUUCUUCCUUUUUCAUAUAUAUUCGUUGGACAGAACCUGUAAUGCAUUCUUAGCACAGGAGUAUCUGAUUGAGAAAGUCUCCCCGUGUGAGAUCGUCUUCUUCCUCCCUUGCCCCCCAUGAAUGAGGUGGUCCUUGAAGAGUGGCGACCCACCCGUUGACAGGCCUGGCUCCGGUGCCGGCGGAGAGG
rnacentral:lncRNA from 1 species